rnacentral:sRNA from 1 species
UGGUACAUACGGUGUUGUACAAUGUGCUGUAAGCCACCAAAACCCGAAAUUCUCGAGAGGACAUAUAACUGCCAAUCAGGUGGCAUUUGCCAUCGCUUGCGAAAACCAGAAUCCGAAGUUGAUUUGACAUUUUCAGAGUCUUCAAUGUCAAUCAAUUGAAGGAACAAUGGACGCUGCUGAAACUUGGCAUCAUGGAGCGCAUCAUCGUUCAUUAAUCCCAUUAAAAGAAUAGCCAGCAACAAUACCAACAAUUUGCAAAUACGAACAUGUCGGGAAGGCAUUGUUUUCAGACUGCUGUCCUGGGCGUCUUCAAAUGUUGAUGUGAGUUAAAAGAAUACAUUGAAAUAUUCCGACGCUCUCACCAGGGGUCCAUUCUGCGCAGUAUGUACGCAGGUUAUUCUCACUUAUUGCACAGCAUGUUUGAACGCUAUCCCAGGGGAUAUGGUUGCGGGCUAGCAGUGACCAUGCUGAACGAAGCGGGUCAUUUAACCUUUACUCAAGGUGUUCUUGUUUCAAUAUGUUCAUUUUUCAUAAUUUACCUUACCGGUGGUGUGAUAUAUAGGUUAUAUCUUUCCCCAUUGGCAAAGUUCCUAGGGCCGAAGUUAGCAGCCGCGACGCUAUGGUAUGAAUUUUAUUAUGAUGCUGUUCGCAGGGGCCGAUACACGUUCAAGAUUAAGGAGCUACAUCAAAAAUAUGGGCCAAUCGUCCGGAUUAGCCCAUACGAAUUACAUAUAGAUGAUCCUGACUAUUACCGUGUGCUAUAUUCGUAUAGCUCUCCGCGGGAUAAGUACCCAUAUUAUCUGAAACCAUUCGGAUUUCCGCUAUCCGCCUUUGGAACGGAG